rnacentral:rRNA from 1 species
AACGAACGCUGGCGGCGUGUUUAAGACAUGCGAGUCGCACGGGAUAAGACAUGUAGUAAUACUUGUUUUAUUAGUGGCGCACGGGUGAGUAACACGUGAAUUACAUGACCUAUAGUGGGGAAUAGCCCAGGGAAACUUGGAUUAAUACCCCAUGGUAUCGAAAGAUUAAAGGUGGCCGCAAGGCUGUCGCUAUAGGAUUGGUUCGCGCCCUAUCAGCUUGUUGGUGAGGUAACGGCUCACCAAGGCAAGGACGGGUACCUGGUCUGAGAGGACGAUCAGGCACACUGGAACUGAGACACGGUCCAGACACCUACGGGUGGCAGCAGUCGAGAAUAAUUCACAAUGGGGGCAACCCUGAUGGUGCAACGCCGCGUGGAGGAUGACGGUCUUCGGAUUGUAAACUCCUGUCAUCUGGGAGAAAGACCUGACGGUAAAUAGCCGGCAGGGUUGAUAGUACCAGAAGAGGAAGGGACGGCUAACUUCGUGCCAGCCGCCGCAGUAA